UGCAGCACAGCAGCAGCAUUGACCCCAGGCUAGCGUGGCUAUAAAAGGCUCAGGUCUUGUUGCUAAAGUUUGGAGGUGUCAAAUUACUGUUACAGCACUGUAGCACACUGUAGCGUUUCGUUUGUAUUUGUGAAUUAUUGUCCAAACAUUGACUAAUUAGGCUCAAAAGAUUUCGUCUCGCAAAGUACAACAAAACUGUGCAAUUAGUUUUUAAUUUCAUCUACAUUUAGUACUCCAUGCAUGUACCGCAAGUUUGAUGUGAUAGGGAAUCUUCUUUUUGCAUAGUGCCAAAGUUGGGAGUUGGGGGUGAACUAAACAAGGGCUCAGGAACGGGCCAUUUGGAGAUCACCAAUUUAUUUAGUUUCUCAUAUCAGAGAGAUCCAUCGUGACUGCAGCUGUGGCUGCCAUGGCGUGCCUCAAGAAGGCCCGAGCGCCGGCCAUGACCGUCGCCGCGGCGGCGCUGGCGCUGCUGCUGAUGGCGCUGGCUCAAGGAGGCCCGCUGAUGGCGCUGGCCCAAGGCGGCGACAAGGCCUGCUCGAGCAUCCCGUUGUUCAAGGAGUGUUUGAGUAAGGAGGGGCUGACGCUGCCGCAUGACCUCAACAGCCCCACGGUUCUGAGCGGCGAGUGCUGCAACGCCUUCGCCGCAGGCCAGCGCGAGUGCCUGUGCCGUCUCCGGGACCAGCUCCGCGACAGCGUGACCGACCCCAAGAAGCUCCUCUGCCCCGCCAACACCGGCUGCCCUGACCCCUAAUGAGUGGCCAAAGCUCAUUUCAGUUGGUUCCUCCUCAAGCUCAAUUGAUUACGCACCGCGCGCGUUACGCGUGCUCGGUCCAGUACUUGGGUUGUAAUCUUCCCGUCCAUUGUCGUUCCAUUUUCUGCGUUUCAAGUUACGGGGUUCUUCCCAACUUAUUUUGCAUCUCUGAAAGACAAAAAUAUUACUUCCAUAAAUAUUUUGUCAUGUACCACCACUUGAGGUGCACGUUUUAACACUGCCAUC
rnacentral:lncRNA from 1 species